ensembl:lncRNA
UUUUCAACGUUUUGGCUUGUAGACAAAUCGGUAAGACAUGCAAAACUUUUUUUCAUUAGCUUAGGUGUUCCUCCUUUGCCAGUUUUAUAUUGUGAAUGUAUGUAAAAGUAAUUUUAUCUAUUUAAGGAAAACAAGUGGCAUUAAUUAUAAAAAUUUAAAGAAGAAAAAUUGAAAGUAAAUAAAUGAAUUAGCGGCAUUAUUUUUUAGAGUUCUGAAAAAUGUACCACUUGGUAAUCAAAAAUACAAAAAACUUAUAAUGCAAUAGCCUACUGUGCCAAUUUGAUAUGGCUAAGAAGCUAAAGCAAACGACACACUCCCUACACUUCAAUCUCCAGUUCUGCAAAAUGUGUUCCUCACGUAAUCUGAUUCGAUGCAUGUUUCACCCUCCAGGACACAUUUGUGUUUACGAAUCCAUGAAUACAACACAAGACAUAUUUAAACAGCAUCUCAGUCCCAAUACAACAGAAGUGACUAAAGUAUUCAGCAGCAGUAGCAUCACAGAAGGUAUUAAGAAUGAAACCUCAUACCUCUAUAUUGUGUAUGGAUUAGUAGGAGUUGGAGUGUUUGGAGUCUGUCUUUUCCUGUUCCUGGCCUGGAAGACCAAGAAAAGUAAAGAAUCUGUGAUCCUCAUGAAAUACGACGACCAGCCAACGCAGGACUUGGACUCAGAGCCAGACUACGUGAAUCAGAUGGAAGAGAGUGGCCAUGACUACUGCAGUGUGGACCUGCAUGCUGCAGAUGAGGAUUCAGCAAGUGAGGAUGAUGAUUAUGUUAACACAAACACAAUGAUAGCCUGUGAAGCCUACCACAGUGACAGUGACAGUGAACCAGACUAUGAGAACUCUGCAUAUCUUGAAAAGCAGACUAAUUAAACAACAAGGUUGUAAUGCAGGAAAGACCAUAUGCCAUAGUCACUCGGGGCAUGCCUGGGCUGUAGAGAUGCACAAAAACCUUUUCUAGCUGUAUUUGUAGCCUUUGAAAAGAUUGCAUAAAUCACUUUUCAUUGACAGCCUUGUGUUUGGCAAACAUGCACAGAAAAGAAGAAUCUAUUAUGAAAGGUGACCUCAGAUGAAGCAGCGGGGUUGAAGUCCUAGGUUCAUCAAUACACCUCAGAGGCAAACCAGUAUGUGUUUGUAGAUGCACUGAACUUCAUUGUUUUCUGAAAUUCUAGUUUUAACUUUUAUAUCACACAUCUUGAGCCAGAAUUGGCAAAGCAGCUGCUAGUAGGAAUUGCUCAGUCUCAUUGUGAAAGAUGGGUGGGUAACACUGAGGGACAGCAGAAUGGUUUAGCAAUAUGACUUAGCAUAAAGUAUAAGCAUUAACUGAAGUGUGACGUUCCCUUUGUAACACAGAAUUUUGUCGUACUGAGAUUCUAUUUGUGUUUAUACUAACCAGGUCCUUGAGAAGGAAAGCCUUCAAGACCUGAUUGGUCAAACACUUAAUUCCCCGAUAUAACACUCAGUGCAACUUCUACAGAGAACUGUAAUCAAUGCUAAGUCAUUGUAGUAUUUUAAUGGUGACAAAGCUGGCAUAGUUAUUUAUGAAUGAUAAAUAUGAAUAUAGUGUCAUUAGUAUUAGCUCAGGGAAAUGGUCAACAGAGCAAAGGUGACACCCAAAUGCCCGGUGAAGCUGUAGCUAAUACUAUUAUUAGUGUUGGUAAUAGAUAUUACUGUGUGUCAGUGAGCUAUAACUGCAGAGGAAGGCCAUGUAGCUGCUCCUGUUUCCUCCUUGCAGCACAACUAGCCUCUACACUCCUACUCUGUCCCAGGAGCUGGUUUUCACUGACUGGGGAAGGUGCAAGAUGAUAUAGUUUGGAUUUGACAGUCUAGGUACAAAAAUUGCUGUGUUACAUCUUGCCACAUUACUUACCAUAUUGAAAAUGCACACACAACAAUACAUCCCAUCCCUGACUUAAUGGGGUGAACCCAUUCUGUGAAAAUGCCAUCAGGGGAUGUACCUAAAAGAAAUGUUUCACCAAAAAUGAAUCAGAAAACUAAAAUAAAAUGUAUUUUUAUGUAUGAUAAUGACA